rnacentral:tRNA from 1 species
UCCCUGAUGAUCCAGUGGUUAAGAACCUGCCCGCAAUGCAGGGGAUGCAGGUUCAAUCCCUGGUCAGGGAA